GAUGAACGCUGGCGGCGUGCCUAAUACAUGCAAGUCGAGCGAACAGACGAGGAGCUUGCUCCUCUGACGUUAGCGGCGGACGGGUGAGUAACACGUGGAUAACCUACCUAUAAGACUGGGAUAACUUCGGGAAACCGGAGCUAAUACCGGAUAAUAUAUUGAACCGCAUGGUUCAAUAGUGAAAGACGGUUUUGCUGUCACUUAUAGCUGGAUCCGAGCCGCAUUAGCUAGUUGGUAAGGUAACGGCUUACCAAGGCGACGAUGCGUAGCCGACCUGAGAGGAUGAUCGGCCACACUGGAACUGAGACACGGUCCAGACUCCUACGGGAGGCAGCAGUAGGGAAUCUUCCGCAAUGGGCGAAAGCCUGACGGAGCAACGCCGCGUGAGUGAUGAAGGUCUUCGGAUCGUAAAACUCUGUUAUUAGGGAAGAACAAAUGUGUAAGUAACUAUGCACGUCUUGACGGUACCUAAUCAGAAAGCCACGGCUAACUACGUG
rnacentral:rRNA from 1 species